rnacentral:tRNA from 1 species
GUCCUGGUAGGGUAGUGGAUAUCCUUGGGGCUUGCGGAGCCUUAGACUCGAGUUCGAAUCUUGGCCAGGACG